AGGAAAGAGAGAGGGAGGCCUAACACAUGCAAGCCGAGCGGUAGAGUCUCUUCGGAGACUUGAGAGCGGCGCACGGGUGCGGAACACGUGUGCAACCUGCCUUUAUCUGGGGGAUAGCCUUUCGAAGGGAAGAUUAAUACCCCAUAAUAUACUGGAUGGCAUCAUCUGGUAUUGAAAACUCCGGUGGAUAGAGAUGGGCACGCGCAAGAUUAGAUAGUUGGUGAGGUAACGGCUCACCAAGUCAGCGAUCUUUAGGGGGCCUGAGAGGGUGAUCCCCCACACUGGUACUGAGACACGGACCAGACUCCUACGGGAGGCAGCAGUGAGGAAUAUUGGACAAUGGGUGAGAGCCUGAUCCAGCCAUCCCGCGUGAAGGACGACGACCCUAUGGGUUGUAAACUUCUUUUGUAUAGGGAUAAACCUAGAUACGUGUAUCUAGCUGAAGGUACUAUACGAAUAAGCACCGGCUAACUCCGUG
rnacentral:rRNA from 1 species